UACGUAGGGGGCAAGCGUUGUCCGGAUUUAUUGGGCGUAAAGAGCGUGUAGGCGGCUAGAUAGGUCCGUUGUGAAAACUCGAGGCUCAACCUCGAGACGUCGAUGGAAACCAUCUGGCUAGAGUCCGGAAGAGGAGAGUGGAAUUCCUGGUGUAGCGGUGAAAUGCGCAGAUAUCAGGAAGAACACCCGUGGCGAAGGCGGCUCUCUGGACAGUUCCUGACGCUGAGGCACGAAGGUCAGGGGAGCAAACGGG
rnacentral:rRNA from 1 species